rnacentral:rRNA from 1 species
UACGAAGGGGGCUAGCGUUGUUCGGAAUUACUGGGCGUAAAGCGCGCGCAGGCGGUCUUCCAAGUCAGUGGUGAAAGCCCGGAGCUCAACUCCGGAACUGCCAUUGAAACUGUUAGACUUGAGGAUGAGAGAGGUGAGUGGAAUUCCCAGUGUAGAGGUGAAAUUCGUAGAUAUUGGGAAGAACACCGGUGGCGAAGGCGGCGCUCUGGACCGAGACUGACGCUGAGGCGCGAAGGCGUGGGGAGCAAACAGG